AUUGAACGCUGGCGGUAGGCCUAACACAUACAAGUCGAGCGGAAACACUUCGGGUGUCGAGCGGCGGACGGGUGAGUAACGCGUAGAAAUCUGCCUAGUAGUGGGGGAUAACUUGGGGAAACCCAAGCUAAUACCGCAUACGUCCUACGGGAGAGAGGAGGGGACCUUCGGGCCUUUCGCUAUUAGAUGAGUCUGCGUCAGAUUAGCUAGUUGGUGAGGUAAUGGCUCACCAAGGCGACGAUCUGUAGCUGGUCUGAGAGGAUGAUCAGCCACACUGGGACUGAGACACGGCCCAG
rnacentral:rRNA from 1 species